GGCUAGGUGGCUGAGUGGUAAAGUAGGUACGUUAACUGAUCGUUCCCAAAAACUACUGUACCUUAUGUGGGUUCGAUUCCCACCCUGGGCG